GACCUGUUGGUGUACUCGGUUUAACAUAUCCGCCUAUUAUGCGGAAGUAGCAUGGUUCGAAUCCAUGUCGGUCCA
rnacentral:tRNA from 1 species